rnacentral:rRNA from 1 species
GACGAACGCUGGCGGCGUGCUUAACACAUGCAAGUCGAGCGAGAUCCAUCCAGUGGCAACACUGGUGAAGAUCUAGCGGCGAACGGGUGAGUAACACGUGAGCAACCUGCCCCGAAGACCGGGAGUAACAGCGGGAAACCGGACUGCUAAUACCGGAUGCCCUCACCGGGCCGCAUGACCUGGUGAGGAAAUGGCGUGAGUCUUAAUAAACUCAGUCCGCUUCGGGAGGGGCUCGCGGGCUAUCAGCUUGUUGGUGAGGUAACGGCUCACCAAGGCUACGACGGCUAGCUGGUCUGAGAGGACGACCAGCCACACUGGGACUGAGACACGGCCCAGACUCCUACGGGAGGCAGCAGU